AACUAAUGUCGGCAACAGACAAAUAACUAUUAUAUAUAGCAAGCUACCGCUAGUUAGCCAAAUCCCACUCAAUCAGUCUGUCAGUUUAAGCAGCAUACAAGUGCUAAUGGAAAUGUAGUGUGUGGAUGGAAAUAAAUAACAACACUCAACAUACUUUUGAAGACAUUUUGUUUCAAGUUUGUAACAAAUGCGGUCAAAGUUUUAAGGGAGUUUGUCAGUCGGUCAUAAGGUAGGCUCAGCAAAACGAGGGAGGCGGCUAGCAUUAUUAUCAAGAGGUGUGCUAACCAUUAGGCCUUGUAUGCCAGGUCUACCUCCAGAUUGUGAGGUGCUACUUUGGACUUGACGAACUCUUAUAGUAGGCAACAGAAACUCUUUACUGCAGAAAAACCGUAGUAGGUUUGAUGCUCAACAGAUUGCUCUGGAGUUAGUUAUAAGUUAAUAAUAAGUAUCCAUUGAUAUGUGUGACAAAACAUACCAACUGGUGUCAACAUCAGCUAGGCUAUGUUGGCAUUUUCUGAUGGUUCUUCAUGACUGAUCAUAAGGUACAAAAUAAAUAAUACAGAAAUACAGUGCUGGGCAUUGGUAGACAAUCAUAUUAAUCUGUCUAUGUAUCUAUUUCUUCUGUGUAAGCAGUUUCUUAUGGAUCCCCAGUUGCUGCCUCCUUCUGAAGCACAGGUUAUUAGAGAGGCUGAAAACCAGACUGGAACAGGCUCUUCAAAGGCAGCCUCUGGACCUGGACUAUUUAGAGUUCCUCUGUACCAGUGAGUUGAGCCUAGUUCACUGAGUACUUUCAUGCCAUUUCCAGAAGAGGUCAUAGGCAGACGGGAAAAGCAGGCCUUAAAAGAGGGCUACAGGAUACUGGGGUGCUCCCAAUGAUAACAGAACGGCCAGAACUGGCUAGAGUUCUGUUCCCACAAGGUGUCUCAUCUCUGAUGGAUCCUAAGAUGAAUUUGAAGAGUGGUUUGACCAGAUGAGGCGGAGGUUGACGAAGAUGAAAUGGAAGACUGCCGUGUCACAGCCUACCUCAGACAAUACGUUGCCGUGCCUACCUCAGACAAUACGCUGCCGUGCCUACCUCAGAC